rnacentral:misc_RNA from 1 species
AAGUCGUAACAAGGUUUCCGUAGGUGAACCUGCGGAAGGAUCAUUACUGAGAACAUGCCCUUUGGGGUAUAUCUCCCACCCUUUGUUUACAAUACCUUUGUUGCUUUGGCGGGCCCGUCUUAUGACCACUGGCUAAUAUUAGCUGGUCCGUGCCUGCCAGAGGACCCCAAAACUCUUUUAUUAUGUUGUCUGAGUCUUAUAUAAUAGUUAAAACUUUCAACAACGGAUCUCUUGGUUCUG